rnacentral:rRNA from 1 species
GGCUUAGAGUUUGAUCAUGGCUCAGGACGAACGCUGGCGGCGUGCUUAACACAUGCAAGUCGAACGGAGCACCCUUGACUGAGGUUUCGGCCAAAUGAAAGGAAUGCUUAGUGGCGGACUGGUGAGUAACGCGUGAGGAACCUGCCUUCCAGAGGGGGACAACAGUUGGAAACGACUGCUAAUACCGCAUGAUAUAUUGAAAGGGCAUCCUUUUAAUAUCAAAGAUUUAUCGCUGGAAGAUGGCCUCGCGUCUGAUUAGCUAGUAGGCGGGGUAACGGCCCACCUAGGCGACGAUCAGUAGCCGGACUGAGAGGUUGACCGGCCACAUUGGGACUGAGAUACGGCCCAGACUCCUACGGGAGGCAGCAGUGGGGAAUAUUGGGCAAUGGGCGCAAGCCUGACCCAGCAACGCCGCGUGAAGGAAGAAGGCUUUCGGGUUGUAAACUUCUUUUGUCAGGGAACAGUAGAAGAGGGUGCCUGACGAAUAAGCCACGGCUAACUACGUGCCAGCAGCCGCGGUAAUACGUAGGUGGCAAGCGUUGUCCGGAUUUACUGGGUGUAAAGGGCGUGCAGCCGGGCUGGUAAGUCAGAUGUGAAAUCCGUGGGCUUAACCCACGAACUGCAUUUGAAACUGCUGGUCUUGAGUACCGGAGAGGUUAUCG